CAAUGCUUUACUGCUUGCACGGACACGCAAGGGCGUACACGUCUUUGUCAUGGAAUGCUUCCAGAAGUAUGGCAAGAUAUGGGGACUGAGCACACCCUAGAGGUGAACCCCCUGCGCUCCAUGAACACUCGGUGACUCUGAUGGGAGGGAUCCGCUGUAGUCUGAGUCUUUGUGGAUGUGUCCGCUGAGUCCACGUCAUCCUCUAGGUCACUGUUCUGUGAGUAAUCCUACAAAAAAUGGGCGCAGCAUCAGGGUUGGGGAAUAUAAAUGACACCUGAAUUGUAUCCGCAAAUCUUACAAAGAAAAUAAUAGUGAUUCCAAGUCAUUGUUGGUUAUAUUUGUGUAAUACUCAGCUUUGAUGGUGUUAAUGGGGUGACUCUGGACCGGAAUCCAGAGUCUGUGAAAUGUUGGUGGGAGGAGGGUCCUCAGAAGAUGCAAUUUCCUGGAAUAUAAUUUUUAGAAAAUUCGCCUCAGGACAUCCCCCCCUUGCACAAUGGUCAAAUGAUGAGAAACUAUUUCGAUACUUUGUGGUAUGGCACUGAUGGGCUAGGUACGACUCGGAGAGUGGUAAAUGUUCAGCACGUGGUUUAUUCCAACAGAGACACAAGGCAAACGAGCGUGUGUUCUGGAGGGUUCAUGAAGCACCUCUCGAACACAGGUAAACAAACCCUUAUAUUUGGAGUAGGCAGAACGACAAAUAAGCUACGCCUACACGUUCUAAUUUACCCAGGUAAACCUUUCCGUCUGUCUUGGCCUAAACGUAAAUGACAAAGUGGCCAUGUUUGUAGUCGUUAAAGGUUGGGUAUGGGAUUUGCGAAAUGCCAGCAGAUUUUGAAAACACACCACUCAAAUGGUCCUACCCCCUCUCCUUUAACGCUGACUCUGACUCCACCCAUUCCAAGUAUAUGGACGCGCAAUCAUGCACGAGCGAACACAGAUGCGCGAGAGCGAGUCAUUUGCUAGUUAGCUAGCUCCAGUAGCUACCGCAGGAUAACAACAAACAGAAGUUUGUCUGGGUCUCGAGGUUUGAGUACGUGCACGAAGGGGUCGCGCGCGGGGGAGGGGGAGUGCAGUACAACCGUUUGAUUGACGUACUUACUGUCCAAUGCAACUCGGUGGCUCUGGAAAUCAUUGGCUGGAGUUUUUCGAGCCUUGCCCGUUCCACAGAUGAUUGACUUGUUUAAUUUUCAUGUCAGUACUUCUAAUUCAGUGGCUGUAAGUGGGUUAUGAUAAGGAUUUCAAGUAAUUUUGCAAAAAUGGCCAAAAAGCGAAUUCCAUACCCAACCUUUAACUUAUAUACAAAAUCACUAAAACCUUAAAUGGUGUUGUCCAUUAUGUGGUGAAGAAACAAUUCAUAACUGUUGUUAGCUUGAAACAUGUCAUCAGAAAUAGCAUAGACUAAAAUAAUUUACAUAAUUCCCCCCUUUGAGGCUGAAGACUCACAUAACGUUAUGUAAGCAAAAUGAACAUCAAUUACUAUAGGACAGCAAAUGUUAAUGAUAGAAAUUCACGUACAAAAUGCAAAGCAUUUGACAAUAUUGAUUAUUUGAUUGGUGGCUGGCAUCCUUGUAGCUGGAUCACUUCCUCUAAAUUGACGUGGAGUUCUCU